UUUGGGUUUAACAUCCACAAGGGACUGGCUGGACAUCCCUCCACCUUUGGUAAUCCGGGGGAACGUAACGAGUCUUCCUUUCUCUCCCAGUCUUCAUCAUCAAGCACCAAGAGUUUGCAUCGUUACAAUCUUCCUCCUCGGCGGCGGCGAGCACUCCCACCGGGGCUUCUGGGUAGCCAUCGGCGAGGGGGGGUCAACGAGGCAAACGGAGCGGUGGUGGAGCAGUCCGGUUCGGUCGGGUCUGACCCGGAUCAAAGAGAGGGAAGCUGUUCCCUGAUGGUUCACCUGCUUUAACCGUGAUGGAGGCAGAUCUGCUUAUUCGUUCCUGACGGGGAAAUCAAAGACGUGCAGCGAUACGUGCCGUACCGGAAGGGGUUUGUCUUGAGUAUUUUACAGAGGACACUGGAUAGUGGGUGUUGGUGUGAUCUGAACCAAAGAGAAGAAAAGGAGCCGCUUUAUUAUUCAGAAGCUAAAUUAAUGCGCUGUGAGAGCGGAGCUGCAGCGCUGCGAGCUGAGGGUCAAAUACAUGCAAAUAUUAGCAUGUUGGGAUGCUCUUUAAACACUCCACCGUGCACGUGUGUGUGUGUGUUACGUAACGGGUGUGUUUGGAUUUAAUUAGCUCCCUACUUACAGUCUGAUAUUGGCUAAUGAAGCAGCAGAGUGUCCGUCGGUGAUGAAUGGGAGGCGUCAUCUUAAAACAUGAUAAAUCGGACUCGGCCCCUCUGGACAUCAAAAAACAC
ensembl:lncRNA